rnacentral:sRNA from 1 species
UCAGUUGAAUUUUCCGCUGAGAGAGCAA